UUUGGAACAAAGAGUCAGCUAAGGAUUGUUCAUGUGAGUACAACGGUAUAAUAAAUGAUAUUGUAUGGCUACAGAAUGGAAGUAAGAUCUAAACAAAGAAAACUGAGCGAAAGAAGUCUUGAUGUCACAUAAGAAAUAAAUAAAACGGAUCAUAACAUCAUGUACACCAUAUUAAGCGCAUUGAUCUCCCUUCUUAAAGAUGAUAAUCACUUCCAAAUUAAAGAGCAGUGCUUGCCUACAAGUGGAGUGGAAACUAACUUCACUU
rnacentral:lncRNA from 1 species